rnacentral:rRNA from 1 species
AUUGAACGCUGGCGGCAGGCCUAACACAUGCAAGUCGAGCGGAUGAGGGGAGCUUGCUCCCUGAUUUAGCGGCGGGCGGGUGAGUAAUGCCUAGGAAUCUGCCUGGUAGUGGGGGAUAACGUUCCGAAAGGAACGCUAAUACCGCAUACGUCCUACGGGAGAAAGCAGGGGACCUUCGGGCCUUGCGCUAUCAGAUGAGCCUAGGUCGGAUUAGCUAGUUGGUGAGGUAAUGGCUCACCAAGGCGACGAUCCGUAACUGGUCUGAGAGGAUGAUCAGUCACACUGGAACUGAGACACGGUCCAGACUCCUACGGGAGGCAGCAGUGGGGAAUAUUGGACAAUGGGCGAAAGCCUGAUCCAGCCAUGCCGCGUGUGUGAAGAAGGUCUUCGGAUUGUAAAGCACUUUAAGUUGGGAGGAAGGGCUGCUGGUUAAUACCCUGCAGUUUUGACGUUACCAACAGAAUAAGCACCGGCUAACUUCGUG